rnacentral:lncRNA from 1 species
GAUGUUCAGCAGGAUCUGUUGGUCUCUUCUUCAAUGAAUUAUUAAAGGACUGGAUGGAGUCAUAUGACUAAUUCUUGCCGAUGGGUGACAGGUGGAAAUAAUACAAGCCUCCUGCAGGUCUGAUGCGUAAGAACAUCCCAAGGAAUUCUCCAUGGCCACCUAGGGAGUCAUGGGCUCCAGAUGACAUAGCAACAAGGUAGAAGAAUGCCUGGGUCCUGAGUCACCACAUGGUGGAGAGCUGUGUGGAAGAGCUGUCCAAGCUGCCACAAGACUUUGCAUUGACUGUAAAA